AGUAUAUUAGCAUAUAAUAUACUAGUACGUACUAGUCAAAUAUCGCGCCACGUGUUUCAGAUGGUGCACCAAGCAUGCGAAUGCGCGAAAAGAGUGAGACAAGCUGCAUUAGUCGUCGGUGUGACUUGUUUCACUUGUGGUUGUGCUGAUAUCGUGCUAAUACGUACGGUUUUGACCGUCGCAGGAUCUAACUCUUUACGAACCGUGUUGCUCAUCGAGCGAGUGUCGUUAUGGACGAGAGAUAUUGACUUUGGGACUGGUUUCGGAACAAUAUUCGCAACAUGAAAGGAGUUGUUACAUGUUUUCCCGCUUUUUGUAAAGAAACCGCGCGUCGCGUGCAAACGCGCGACGAAUAGAGACGCUCGCAACGGAAAAACGAGGGAAAAGCGUCGCAGAAGAGGAAGAUUAGAAUGCGCGCCAAGUUUUUACCUGGUCCUGGCAGCGCUGCGCCGUGGUGGUGACUUGCGGAGGCUUCCGGAAGAUCGGGAUCGUUCUGAACGGGCGGGCAGCCGUUUGAAGUGAACGCCGCUCUUCCACUCCGUUAACUGUACCGGCUAACGAAGCACAAGUUCAAACUGAAAUGACUCGGAUCUCCGGCAUCGCGCACUUUUAUGCUGUGCCCGCCAACCUUCCCCUCCACAACGCUUUUUCCCAGGGCUGCCGCAUAACUUGCUGACAGGCAGGAGAGUGGGUAAAUUACAGAUAAUGGUGGGAGUACCUUGGCAACCGACGGGUCGCGAAACCGUGAGCUGGAAACUGACGUAUCAGGCCUGGAGCAGUUCGCGGAAUCGGCGAGAGGGGGGGG